AAACUUAACUGGCAGAGGAGAUACCAUGAUCACAAAGGUGGGUUUUCCCAGGUCAAGGCUUAUCCAUUGUACUCCAGGUGUGCUGACCCCUGCGAUUUCCCCAAAUGUGGGAAACUCAACUGUAUAAUUUGUGUUAGUGGGGACUGCAUUCAUGCUCUCCCUAG